rnacentral:rRNA from 1 species
GAUGAACGCUGGCGGCGUGUCUAAUACAUGCAAGUCGAGCGAACGGACGAGAAGCUUGCUUUUCUGAUGUUAGCGGCGGACGGGUGAGUAACACGUGGAUAACCUACCUAUAAGACUGGGAUAACUUCGGGAAACCGGAGCUAAUACCGGAUAAUAUUUUGAACCGCAUGGUUCAAAAGUGAAAGACGGUCUUGCUGUCACUUAUAGAUGGAUCCGCGCUGCAUUAGCUAGUUGGUAAGGUAACGGCUUACCAAGGCAACGAUGCAUAGCCGACCUGAGAGGGUGACCGGCCACACUGGAACUGAGACACGGUCCAGACUCCUACGGGAGGCAGCAGUAGGGAAUCUUCCGCAAUGGGCGAAAGCCUGACGGAGCAACGCCGCGUGAGUGAUGAAGGUCUUCGGAUCGUAAAACUCUGUUAUUAGGGAAGAACAUAUGUGUAAGUAACUGUGCACAUCUUGACGGUACCUAAUCAGAAAGCCACGGCUAACUACGUG